UUGCAGUCAAUUAAGCCGACUGUGCUCUUUUCCCCAUGGGGGCCAAGCGUGCAAUGGCCCCCUUGGUAGUGUAGGCAGCCUGUUGUCUGUACAGGUUGCCCUAAGGGAUCUUGGAGACAGUA
rnacentral:snoRNA from 1 species